rnacentral:ncRNA from 1 species
ACAAAUUCUGUGAAGAGGAAUAGUAAUUAAAAUAAAUAUUUAAGAGACUUGAUGGUUGGUGAGAAUCAAGAUAGUUAUUUAAUGAAUCUACCUUGGAGAAGAAGUAGAAAACUACUUCCGGCAAUAGAAACUGUUAUUUCUAUAAGAGUGAGAGCUUGCUCUAAGCGGGGUGGCACCGCGGACUAAAAAAUGUUCGUCCCUGUU